GACGAACGCUGGCGGCGUGCUUAACACAUGCAAGUCGAGCGGUAAGGCCCUUUCGGGGUACGACGAGCGGCGAACGGGUGAGUAACACGUGGGUGACCUGCCCUCAGCUCUGGGAUAAGCCUGGGAAACCGGGUCUAAUACUGGAUAUGACUCCAUGACGCAUGUUGUGGGGUGGAAAGCCUUGUGCGGCUGAGGAUGGGCCCGCGGCCUAUCAGCUUGUUGGUGGGGUGAGGCCUACCAAGGCGACGACGGGUAGCCGGCCUGAGAGGGCGACCGGCCACACUGGGACUGAGACACGGCCCAGACUCCUACGGGAGGCAGCAGUGGGGAAUCUUGCGCAAUGGGCGAAAGCCUGACGCAGCGACGCCGCGUGAGGGAUGAAC
rnacentral:rRNA from 1 species